rnacentral:rRNA from 1 species
UACGUAGGGGGCAAGCGUUAUCCGGAUUUACUGGGUGUAAAGGGAGCGUAGACGGUAAUGUAAGUCUGAUGUGAAAGCCCGGGGCUCAACCCCGGGACUGCAUUGGAAACUAUGUAACUAGAGUACCGGAGAGGUAAGCGGAAUUCCUAGUGUAGCGGUGAAAUGCGUAGAUAUUAGGAGGAACAUCGGUGGCGUAAGCGCUUUACUGGGCCGUAAUUGACGCUGAGGAACGAAAGCCAGGGUAGCAAAUGGG